GCUCAGUAACACGUGGAUAACCUACCCUUAGGACCGGGAUAACCUUGGGAAACUGGGGAUAAUACUGGAUAGGCAAUUUUUCCUGUAAUGGUUUUUUGUUUAAAUGUUUUUUCGCCUAAGGAUGGGUCUGCGGCCGAUUAGGUAGUUGGUUAGGUAAUGGCUUACCAAGCCGUUGAUCGGUACGGGUUGUGAGAGCAAGAGCCCGGAGAUGGAACCUGAGACAAGGUUCCAGGCCCUACGGGGUGCAGCAGGCGCGAAACCUCCGCAAUGUGAGAAAUCGCGACGGGGGGAUCCCAAGUGCCAUUCUUAACGGGAUGGCUUUUCUUAAGUGUAAAGAGCUUUUGGAAUAAGGGCUGGGCAAGACCGGUGCCAGCCGCCGCGGUAACACCGGCAGCUCUAGUGGUAGCAGUUUUUAUUGGGCCUAAAGCGUCCGUAGCCGGUUUAAUAAGUCUCUGGUGAAAUCCUGUAGCUUAACUGUGGGAAUUGCUGGAGAUACUAUUAGACUUGAGACCGGGAGAGGUUGGAGGUACUCCCAGGGUAGAGGUGAAAUUCUGUAAUCCUGGGAGGACCGCCUGUUGCGAAGGCGUCCAACUGGAACGGUUCUGACGGUGAGGGACGAAAGUUAGGGGCGCGAACCGGAUUAGAUACCCGGGUAGUCCUAACUGUAAACGAUGCGGACUUGGUGUUGGGGUGGCUUUGAGCUGCUCCAGUGCCGAAGGGAAGCUGUUAAGUCCGCCGCCUGGGAAGUACGGUCGCAAGACUGAAACUUAAAGGAAUUGGCGGGGGAGCAC
rnacentral:rRNA from 1 species